CUUAAAUUGAAGAGUUUGAUCAUGGCUCAGAUUGAACGCUGGCGGCAGGCCUAACACAUGCAAGUCGAGCGGAAACGAGUUAUCUGAAC
rnacentral:rRNA from 1 species